GACGAACGCUGGCGGCGUGCCUAACACAUGCAAGUCGAGCGGAGUUGACAAGAGGAAGUUUUCGGAUGGAAUCUUGCCAGCUUAGCGGCGGACGGGUGAGUAACGCGUGAGCGACCAACCUUGCACAGGGGGAUAACGGACCGAAAGGUUCACUAAUACCGCAUGAGACCACGGUGUUGCAUGACCCAGGGGUCAAAGGAGGAAUCCGGUGCAAGACGGGCUCGCGUCCAAUUAGCUAGUUGGUAAGGUAAUGGCUUACCAAGGCGACGAUGCGUAGCCGACCUGAGAGGGUGAUCGGCCACAUUGGAACUGAGAUACGGUCCAAACUCCUACGGGAGGCAGCAGUGGGGAAUAUUGGGCAAUGGGGGAAACCCUGACCCAGCAACGCCGCGUGAAGGAAGAAGGUUUUCGGAUUGUAAACUUCUGUCCUUGGUGAAGAGAAGAAGACGGUAGCCAAGGAGGAAGCCCCGGCUAACUACGUGCCAGCCGCCGCCGUAA
rnacentral:rRNA from 1 species